rnacentral:rRNA from 1 species
UCCUACGGGGCGCAGCAGUGAGGAAUAUUGGUCAAUGGCCGGAAGGCUGAACCAGCCAAGUCGCGUGAGGGACGACUGCCCUAUGGGUUGUAAACCUCUUUUAUAAGGGAAGAAUAAAUGCUACGUGUAGCAUGAUGCCUGUACCUUAUGAAUAAGCAUCGGCUAACUCCGUGCCAGCAGCCGCGGUAAUACGGAGGAUGCGAGCGUUAUCCGGAUUUAUUGGGUUUAAAGGGUGCGUAGGCGGUUUUUUAAGUUAUUGGUUAAACGUCGGGGCUUCACCUUGCUUUGCCGUUGAUACUGUAAGA